rnacentral:rRNA from 1 species
GACGAACGCUGGCGGCGUGCUUAACACAUGCAAGUCGAACGAUGAAGCCCUUCGGGGUGGAUUAGUGGCGAACGGGUGAGUAACACGUGGGCAAUCUGCCCUCCACUCUGGGACAAGCCCUGGAAACGGGGUCUAAUACCGGAUAUCACUUCUGCCCGCAUGGGCGGGGGUUGAAAGCUCCGGCGGUGGAGGAUGAGCCCGCGGCCUAUCAGCUUGUUGGUGAGGUAAUGGCUCACCAAGGCGACGACGGGUAGCCGGCCUGAGAGGGCGACCGGCCACACUGGGACUGAGACACGGCCCAGACUCCUACGGGAGGCAGCAGUGGGGAAUAUUGCACAAUGGGCGCAAGCCUGAYGCAGCGACSCCGCGUGAGGGAUGACGGCCUUCGGGUUGWAAACCUCUUUCAGCAGGGAAGAA